rnacentral:rRNA from 1 species
CGGUAAUUCCAGCUCCAAUAGCGUAUAUUAAUUUUGUUGCAGUUAAAAAGCUCGUAGUUGGAUUUCUUUUGUUUUAUAAGUAUCGGGUACUAAGCCUUUGUGCACAGUUACCUCUCUUAUGAUUCAAAAUAAAUUGGGUAAUUCGUAUAGGAGGAGUCUCUGGGUAUUAACUUACUAGUAAGGCGAUCCCUAUGCAUAUGUGUUAUCCAUCAUUUACUGUGAAAAAAUCAAAGCGUUCAAAGCAGGCUCUAAGCUCUCUGAAUGUCUCAGCAUGGAAUAAUAAGAUAAGUUUCAUCUUCAUUUUGUUGGUUUGCAAAGAAGAAAAAUGAUUAACAGGGACAGUUGGGGGUAUUCGUAUUAGAUUGUCAGAGGUGAAAUUCUUGGAUUUAUUUAAGACGAACAACAGCGAAAGCAUUUACCAAGGAUGUUUUCAUUAAUCAAGAACGAAAGUUAGGGGAUCGAAGAUGAUUAGAUACCAUCGUAGUCUUAACCAUAAACUAUGCCGACUCGAGAUUGUUAGUAGUUACUAAAUGACACUAGCAGGAUCGUACGAGAAAUCAAAGUCUUUGGGUUCUGGGGGGAGUAUGGUCGCAAGGCUGAAACUUAAAGGAAUUGACGGAAGGGCACCAUCAGGCGUGGAGCCUGCGGCUCAAUUUGACUCAACUCGGGAAAACUUAGCAGGGCAGGACAAAGUUAGGAUUGACAGAUUGAGAGCUCUUUCUUGAUUCUUUGGAUGGUGGUGCAUGGCCGUUUUUAGUUGGUGGUGUGAAUUGUCUGGUUAAUUCCGUUAACGAACGAGACCUCCGCCCAUUAAAUAGUAGAACUAUUCUCACGGAUAGGGAAAUAACUUCUUAGAGGGACUUUUCGCUUUUAGCGGAAGGAAGUUGGAGGCAACAACAGGUCUGUGAUGCCCUUAGAUGUCCUGCGCCGCACGCGCGCUACAAUGAGCAGAUCAACGGGUAACUUCCUAUGUCGAAAGGCACGGGUAAUCCUGAAACCCUGCUCGUGAUGGGGCUAGAUUAUUGCAAUUAUUAAUCUUCAACGAGGAAUGCCUAGUAAACGCACGUCAUCAUCGUGCAUUGAAUACAUCCCUGCUCCUUGUACACACCGCCC